rnacentral:rRNA from 1 species
UACGUAGGGGGCAAGCGUUGUCCGGAAUCAUUGGGCGUAAAGAGCGUGUAGGCGGCCAGAAAAGUCCGCUGUGAAAACUCGAGGCUCAACUUCGAGCUGUCGGUGGAAACUUUCUGGCUAGAGUCCGGAAGAGGAGAAUGGAAUUCCUGGUGUAGCGGUGAAAUGCGCAGAUAUCAGGAGGAACACCGGUGGCGAAGGCGGAUCUCUGGGCCAUAACUGACGCUGAGGAGCGAAAGCAUGGGGAGCGAACAGG